rnacentral:rRNA from 1 species
CCUACGGGUGGCAGCAGUGAGGAAUAUUGGUCAAUGGGCGCGAGCCUGAACCAGCCAAGUAGCGUGAAGGAUUACUGCCCUACGGGUUGUAAACUUCUUUUAUAAAGGAAUAAAGUCCGGCACGUGUCCCUUUUUGUAUGUACCUUAUGAAUAAGGAUCGGCUAACUGCGGGCCAGCAGCCGCGGUAACCCGGAGGAUCCGAGCGUUGUCCGGAUUUAUUGGGGUUAAAGGGAGCUUAGGUGGUAUCUUAAGUCAGUUGGGAAAGUUUGCGGGUCAACCGUAACAGUGCAGUUGAUACUGGCGGGCUUGAGUGCAGGAGAGGUAGGCGGAAUUCGUGGUGUAGCGGUGAAAUGCUUAGAUAUCACGAAGAACUCCGAUUGCGAAGGCAGCUUACUGGACUGCAACUGACGCUGAGGCUCGAAAGUGUGGGUAUCGAACAGGAUUAGAUACCCGAGUAGUC